rnacentral:rRNA from 1 species
GAUGAACGCUGGCGGCGUGCCUAAUACAUGCAAGUCGAGCGAACGGACGAGAAGCUUGCUUCUCUGAUGUUAGCGGCGGACGGGUGAGUAACACGUGGAUAACCUACCUAUAAGACUGGGAUAACUUCGGGAAACCGGAGCUAAUACCGGAUAAUAUUUUGAACCGCAUGGUUCAAAAGUGAAAGACGGUCUUGCUGUCACUUAUAGAUGGAUCCGCGCUGCAUUAGCUAGUUGGUAAGGUAACGGCUUACCAAGGCAACGAUGCAUAGCCGACCUGAGAGGGUGAUCGGCCACACGGGAACGGAGACACGGUCCAGACUCCUACGGGAGGCAGCAGUAGGGAAUCUUCCGCAAUAGGCGAAAGCCUGACGGAGCAACGCCGCGUGAGUGAUGAAGGUCUUCGGAUCGUAAAACUCUGUUAUUAGGGAAGAACAGAUGUGUAAGUAACUGUGCACAUCUUGACGGUACCGAAUCAGAAAGCCACGGCUAACUACGUG